CUUUGGGUCACACUGGUGGAUGAGGACUGGAGACGGAGGCCAGCCACAUGGACUGAUUGUGCCUGCAGAAGGGAGCAUCCGGAAAACUCUGGACAUUGAAGCUCAGGGCCUCAGGCUGGGGAUGAAGCCUUUGAAACAUGGGCCUUUAGGUGGCACUUACCCAAACCGUAACAACUAGUUGGACUUAUGCCACAGGGUCUGAAGUUUGGAAGUAUCCCACGUUUUGGGAGGAAGAUGGAGGGACAAUACUCUGGUUGGUUCCUAGAGAAGACACACCAAUUGCUUUGGCAGCUCUGGCCCAAUUUGGAAUGGGGCUUCCUGUUGGAGACACGCAGAGGAGAUUCCAAAUAGAACGUCACGACCAGCCUGCCCUGAUGGGCAAGUGCAUGAGGCCCACGCCCAACCCUGAGUGCCAAUGGCGAUGUCAUCUGCAGAUUGUCCAGCAACCUGGUGACCACUCCGUCCACUAGGGACACCAUCACCUGUGCCCCGGCAGGUCUUCUGGAGCCCUUGUUCCUGUCUCAUCGAACAUACAAAUGACCAGUUUACUGACACUUGGAAGUAAAAUGCACGUCCAGAGUCUGAUGGGUCUGGUUUUCAGGGACGUGCUGGUCUUCUCAGCAGGGUCCUAGACAUGGCAGGAACAGUGGGAUAGGCUGAUUCUCCUCUUGUUUCCAAAUACAG